AGUCCGGUAGGAGUCUGAUUGCUAGAGAAGUCCGUCUGGGAUUCACCUGAUGUGGAAGCUCGUCUGAAGAUUAUCCACCGGAGAAGUUCGGUUUCAUAAAAAAUCUGACGGAGGGUCGGCCGACGGUGGACUUCGAAUGGCGUUGGAGAGGCUCGACAGACACCGAAGGUGAUCGAUCGUUGUAGAAAUCCAGCUGCCAGAGUCUGUCCGUCGUAGAAGCUCGUCCGAUAUCCAUCCGCUAUGGAAGUUCGGACGGAGUCUGGUUCUUGUAGAAGGUUGAAAGGAGACUGCUUAUUGUAGAAGCUUGGUCGAAGGUCGGUUGUCAUGGGAGCUCGGAGUAGCAACCUGAC
rnacentral:lncRNA from 1 species